UACGUAGGGACCAAGCGUUGUCCGGAAUCAUUGGGCGUAAAGCGCGCGUAGGUGGCCAUUUAAGUCCGCUGUGAAAGUCAGAGGCUCAACCUUUGAAAGCCGGUGGAUACUGGAUGGCUAGAGUACGGAAGAGGCGAGUGGAAUUCCUGGUGUAGCGGUGGAAUGCGCAGAUAUCAGGAGGAACACCAAUGGCGAAGGCAGCUCGCUGGGACGUGACUGACGCUGAGACGCGAAAGCGUGGGGAGCAAACAGG
rnacentral:rRNA from 1 species